rnacentral:rRNA from 1 species
UACGGGGGGAGCAAGCGUUGUUCGGAAUCACUGGGCGUAAAGGGAGUCUAGGCGGUUUGGUAAGUGGGAUGUGAAAUGCCCGGGCUCACCCCGGGACCUGCAUCCCAAACUGCUGAGCUUGAGUACAGGAGAGGGUGGGGGAAUUCCAGGUGUAGCGGUGAAAUGCGUAGAUAUCUGGAGGAACACCGGUGGCGAAGGCGGCAUCCUGGACCGACACUGACGCUGAGGAGCGAAAGCCAGGGGAGCAAACGGG